UCCUCAACUUCUGCAGGUCCUUUCAAUUGUCCCUUCACCGCCUUUUUCUACCUUCCUCUCUUCUUUUAUAUUUCUCGUCCUUCCUCUUCUACCUUCACCCUCUCCUCUCUCACGAAAAUGACUCGCAAUCUCUCCAUGCCUCUCUUCAAAACGCCUACCCAUCUUAUUCUUCUUCCCUUGAAGUAGAAAUCCUCUCCUCUGAUUCUUCUCACUCAGAAUGAUCGGUGCAUCGCUCCUCGUCCGAAGAAGUGUUCAUGUUCUUCCAAGAAGAAAGUCGCAAAGAAAGCGCGUGUUGUCUUUCCCAAUUCCUUUACAGACAAUGACUCCUUUAUCUCUUGGGGGAUUGAACACAAGAUGCGGAACUCCUCUUUCUCAAAAUGAACCAUCGUAGCUGGGGGCGUAAUCAACCUUGAAAAUCUUGAAGCUUCCCACUAUGUUUUUUGGUAAUACACAAUAGAUAGUGCUGAAGACAAUAACUCAUCUGCAAGCUUACCAUAUGGACUGCUUAUCUCUCAUAUCGUUGUCAGUUCCUUGGUUGAUCUCUCUAUGUACAAGCCUACUUUGAUAGAUGCCACUUAUGAAACUCGAACGUUCUCCAGCAUGGGCUAUGUGAUGGUUAAUGAGAUAUUGUACAAGAAGGACUCUGUUCGGACUAGAACUGACACACCACGGUCCACUCGCAUUUCUGCCGAUUCUGCUGCAAUGUUCCUCAAAGAAGCGGAUCAUAGUAAGGUAAGGCUCGAUGGUCUUGAAUCCCAUAUGCAGGUCAUAUAGGAUACCCUUGGAAAGGUGAUACAACUACACAAGGAUUCCAGAACAGAUAUGGGCAAGUUACUUCUUGAAGUACAGGAAAUUAAGAAGGAUGUUUUUCGCUGAGUCAAUAAAAUUCUCAAGGAAGACAACUCCAUAGAGACUGGAGCUGACUCUGCUCACAAUGGAUUGGUUGUCUCUAUGCAUACCUCUUACUCUACUUUUUCAAAAACUGUUUAGAAAUCUCUUAAUAGUUUUUGUAAGAACGUGAUAAACAUCCUGACGUACUUUCUGGCCAAACAUUAAGUUGGUGAUCAUUUUUUUUCCUUAAGACAUUAUGUUUGUGGAGUUAUAUCUCCUUCUCUCUUAGACUGUAAUUGGGGCUUCUGACCACAUACUCUUUCGUUUAUAUAUUUGUUUAUGCCCA